UAGGGAAUCUUCGGCAAUGGGGGGAACCCUGACCGAGCAACGCCGCGUGAGUGAAGAAGGUUUUCGGAUCGUAAAGCUCUGUUGUUAAGGAAGAACGAGUGAGAGAAUGGAAAGUUCAUGCUGUGACGGUACUUAACCAGAAAGGGACGGCUAACUACGUGCCAGCAGCCGCGGUAACACGUAGGUCCCGAGCGUUGUCCGGAGUUAUUGGGCGUAAAGCGAGCGCAGGCGGUUAGAAAAGUCUGAAGUGACAGGCGGUGGCUCAACCAUUGUAGGCUUUGGAAACUGUUUAGCUUGAGUGCAGAAGGGGAGAGUGGAAGUCCAUGUGUAGCGGUGAAAUUCGAGAAUAUAUGGAGGAACACCGGUGGCGAAGGCGGCUCUCUGGUCUGUAACUGACGCUGAGGCUCGAAAGCGGGGGGAGCGAACAGG
rnacentral:rRNA from 1 species